rnacentral:rRNA from 1 species
GACGAACGCUGGCGGCGUGCUUAACACAUGCAAGUCGAACGGUGAACCUCUUCGGAGGGGAUGAGUGGCGAACGGGUGAGUAACACGUGGGCAACCUGCGCCCGGCUCUGGGAUAACUCCAAGGAAUUGGGGCUAAUACCGGAUGUUCACCGCUUCCCGCAUGGGUGGUGGUGGAAAGGGUUUCCGGCUGGGGAUGGGGCCGUGGCCUAUCAGCUUGUUGGUGGGGUAGUGGCCUACCAAGGCGACGACGGGUAGCCGGCCUGAGGGGGUGACCGGCCACACUGGGGCUGCUACACCGCCCAGAAUCCUCCGGGGGGCAGCAGUGGGGAAUAUUGCGCAAUGGGCGGAAGCCUGACGAAGCGACGCCGCGUGGGGGAUGAAGGCCUUCGGGUUGUAGACCUCUUUCAGCAGGGACGAAGCGCAAGUGACGGUACCUGCAGAAGAAGCACCGGCCAACUACGUG